rnacentral:rRNA from 1 species
GAUGAACGCUGGCGGCGUGCCUAAUACAUGCAAGUCGAGCGGACGGACGAGAAGCCUUCCUCUCUGAGGUUAGCGGCGGGCGGGUGAGUAACACGUGGAUAACCUACCUAUUAUACUGGGGUAACUUCGUGAAACCGGAGCUAAUACCGCAUAAUAUUUUUAACCGCAUGGUUCAAAAGUGAAAGACGGUUUUGCUGUCACUUAGAGAUGCAUCCGCGCUGCAUUAGCUAGUUGGUAAGGUAACGGCUUCCCAAGGCAAAGAUGCAGAGGCGCGCUGAGAGGGUGAGCGGGGACACUGGGACAGAGACGCGGUGCAGACUCCUACGGGAGGCAGCAGUAGGGAAUCUUGCGGGAUGGGGGACAGCGUGAGGGAGCCACGUGGAGUGAGUGCUGAAGGUCUUCGGAUGGUAACGCUCUGUUAUUAGGGAAGACCAUAUGUGAAAGUAACUGGGCACAUCUUGACGGUACCUGAUCAGAAAGCCACGGCUAACUACGUG